UACGAAGGGGCUAGCGUUGUUCGGAAUUACGUGGGCGUAAAGCGCACGUAGGCGGACUAUUAAGUCAGGGGUGAAAUCCCGGGGCUCAACCCCGGAACUGCCUUUGAUACUGGUAGUCUCGAGUCCGGAAGAGGUGAGUGGAAUUCCGAGUGUAGAGGUGAAAAUUCGUAGAUAUUCGGAGGAACACCAGUGGCGAAGGCGGCCUCACUGGUCCGGUACUGACGCUGAGGUGCGAAAGCGUGGGGAGCAAACAGGG
rnacentral:rRNA from 1 species